rnacentral:rRNA from 1 species
UACAGAGGUCUCGAGCGUUGUUCGGAUUCAUUGGGCGUAAAGGGCGCGUAGGCGGCGGGGUAAGUCUGGUGUGAAAUCUCGGAGCUCAACUCCGAAAUUGCACUGGAUACUGCUCUGCUAGAGGGCUGGAGAGGGGAUCGGAAUUCACGGUGUAGCAGUGAAAUGCGUAGAUAUCGUGAGGAAGACCAGUGGCGAAGGCGGAUCUCUGGACAGCUCCUGACGCUGAGGCGCGAAGGCUAGGGGAGCAAACGGG